rnacentral:rRNA from 1 species
AACGAACGCUGGCGGCAGGCCUAACACAUGCAAGUCGAGCGAACCCUUCGGGGUUAGCGGCGGACGGGUUAGUAACGCGUGGGAAUAUACCCUUUGGUACGGAAUAGCCUCGGGGAAACUGAGAGUAAUACCGUAUGUGCCCUUCGGGGGAAAGAUUUAUCGCCAAAGGAUUAGCCCGCGUUGGAUUAGAUAGUUGGUGGGGUAAUGGCCUACCAAGUCUACGAUCCAUAGCUGGUUUGAGAGGAUGAUCAGCAACACUGGGACUGAGACACGGCCCAGACUCCUACGGGAGGCAGCAGUGGGGAAUCUUAGACAAUGGGCGCAAGCCUGAUCUAGCCAUGCCGCGUGGACGAUGAAGGCCUUAGGGUUGUAAAGUCCUUUCAGAUGGGAAGAUAAUGACGGUACCAUCAGAAGAAGCCCCGGCUAACUCCGUGCCAGCAGCCGCGGUAAAGUACAGUGU